UGGCGACGGGGGAGUAACGCGUGGAGAACCUGCCGUAUACUGGGGGAUAACACUUAGAAAUAGGUGCUAAUACCGCAUAAGCGCACAGCUUCGCAUGAAGCAGUGUGAAAAACUCCGGUGGUAUACGAUGGAUCCGCGUCUGAUUAGCUGGUUGGCGGGGUAAAGCCCACCAAGGCGACGAUCAGUAGCCGGCCUGAGAGGGUGAACGGCCACAUUGGGACUGAGACACGGCCCAAACUCCUACGGAAGGCAGCAG
rnacentral:rRNA from 1 species